UACGUAGGGUGCGAGCGUUGAUCGGAUUUACUGGGCGUAAAGCGUGCGCAGGCGGCCCGUUAAGACAGGUGUGAAAUCCCUGGGCUCAACCUAGGAAUUGCGCUUGUGACUGGCGGGCUCGAGUACGGUAGAGGGGGUGGAAUUCCUGGUGUAGCAGUGAAAUGCGUAGAGAUCAGGAGGAACACCGAUGGCGAAGGCAGCCCCCUGGGCCUGUACUGACGCUCAUGCACGAAAGCGUGGGGAGCAAACAGG
rnacentral:rRNA from 1 species